rnacentral:tRNA from 1 species
GCAAUGGUGGUCCAGUCGUAGAAUUCUCACCUUCCAUGCAGGAGACCCAGGUUCGAUCCCCGGCCAAUGCA